rnacentral:lncRNA from 1 species
AUGAGUAUUAACUGGUGUGUAUUUGCAUAUUCCAUGUCCCUAUGUAUAUAUUUUAGGAACACGCAGAGUCUCAGAGAACAAGAUUUUACAAAUGUAUGCACACCUGGAAAUACAUCCAUUCAACCUUGUGGAAUAGUGGAAAGAGCUCUGGACAACAUGGAAGAACAAACUGUAUUCACUUUCUGGAUCUUCCCCUUCCUAGAUUUAAUGUGGCCUCGAUUCCCUUGAUUACAGAUGUGACUCCCUUCUACUGGCCAUCAAUCCUUCAUUCCAAAUAAGAAGUGGUGAAAUGUGAAGGAGAAAGGCUCAGGUGAGCUGAAUCUAUCCUGUUUUAUCAAGAAAAUAACAGCUGUCCCAGUAGUGUUUCCUGGUGACUUCCUUUGACUCAUUAGGACAGUGUGGUAUGACUGCCCUUUUUAUAAGGUAGCCUGGGGAAUUGAUGUGAAUUUUAGCUGCAGACAAUGACACCAUGCACAAAAGUGGGGUUCUAUGAAAAGCACGGCUAUAUUUGUGCCAGGCAUCAGUAUCUGACACCAGAACAAUAUUUGGGAAAAUGAGAGCUGUAGCUCAGUAAAAAAUUAAGAGAGUGAUCUAUGAAGCUUAGAAAGAGAUGGUUCUCAUUGAAAAAUACACUUGGCAACUAGCUAAAAAAAGGAUCAUAAGGGAGUCAUACUCAAACACUUAAGUACAUUCUCUGUUAACCUCCCUGUUGGUCUAAUUACUUGGGUGCCAAAGAGUAGUAUCCUACUAAUAACUAAAAGAUACUUUUUUUUUUUGCUUUUUUUUUUUUUUUUUUUUUUUUUUUUUNACACUUGCAGCAUAUGGAAGUUGCCAGGCUAGGGGUUGGAUCAGAGUUACAGCCACCGGCCUACCCCACAGCCACAGCAACGUGGGAUCCAAGCUGUGUCUGCAACCUAUACCACGUCUCAUGGCAACAUCACAACCCCAAUCCACUGAGUGAGGCCAGGGAUUGAACCCACAUCCUUAUGGAUACUAGUCGGAUUCAUUUCCACUGCACAACAGGAACUCCCAAAAAUACGAUUUAUACUGCAAUAAAAGGGCUACUUAGGACA